UGUUAGGUCAGCGCAACAUGGAUGUUAGGUCAGACAACAUGGAUGUUAGGUCAGCGCAACAUGGAUAUUAGGUCAGAGCAACAUGGAUGUUAGGUCAGAGCAACAUGGAUGUUAGGUCAGAGCAACAUGGAUGUUAGGUCAGCACAACAUGGAUGUUAGGUCAGAGCAACAUGGAUGUUAGGUCAGAGCAACAUGGAUGUUAGGUCAGCGCAACAUGGAUGUUAGGUCAGA